rnacentral:rRNA from 1 species
UACAGAGGCCCCAAGCGUUGUUCGGAUUCAUUGGGCGUAAAGGGUGCGUAGGCGGCGCGGUAAGUCGGGGUGUGAAAUCUCGGAGCUUAACUCCGAAACUGCAUUCGAUACUGCCGUGCUUGAGGACUGGAGAGGAGACUGGAAUUUACGGUGUAGCGGUGAAAUGCGUAGAUAUCGUAAGGAAGACCAGUGGCGAAGGCGGGUCUCUGGGCCAUUACUGACGCUGAGGAGCGAAAGCGUGGGGAGCGAACAGG